rnacentral:rRNA from 1 species
AUUGAACGCUGGCGGCAGGCUUAACACAUGCAAGUCGAGCGGGGUGAUGGUGCUUGCACUAUCACUUAGCGGCGGACGGGUGAGUAAUGCUUAGGAAUCUGCCUAUUAGUGGGGGACAACAUCUCGAAAGGGAUGCUAAUACCGCAUACGUUCUACGGGAGAAAGCAGGGGAUCCAUUGUGACCUUGCGCUAAUAGAUGUGCCUAAGUCGGAUUAGCUAGGUGGUGGGGUAAAGGCCUACCAAGGCGACGAUCUGUAGCGGGUCUGAGAGGAUGAUCCGCCACACUGGGACUGAGACACGGCCCAGACUCCUACGGGAGGCAGCAGUGGGGAAUAUUGGACAAUGGGGGGAACCCUGAUCCAGCCAUGCCGCGUGUGUGAAGAAGGCCUUAUGGUUGUAAAGCACUUUAAGCGAGGAGGAGGCUCUUUUGGUUAAUACCCAAGAUGAGUGGACGUUACUCGCAGAAUAAGCACCGGCUAACUCUGUGCCAGCAGCCGCCGUAA